AGACAGUUAGUAUAGCAAAUAAUACGUUAGUUUGUCGUACUAAAGACACUUUUAUGCGAGUACUGUCUU
rnacentral:tRNA from 3 species